GACCUCGGAUCAGGUAGGAAUACCC
rnacentral:rRNA from 13 species